UGUCAUUCACUGCUUUCAGCCUAUUGAAGAAAGAAUGCAGACCGCAUGGGAACAAGGAAAACUUGUUCUGCUUCAAAACUUGGAUCCAACUUAUGCCUCAUCUGAAGUUGAGGAUAUAAUUUGACAAGGCUUCAAGGAGAAAUGCUCAGCCAAAAUGUUUCCGUAGACUCCAUCUUGUAGCCCUCACUAUGGUCAAGCUUUGGUGAUAUUCGAAACAGAAGAAGCAGCAAGAGAGCCAUAAGAAAACUAGGUGAUGGAUGCUUGGUGCUACCUGAUGGAAGUUGAACCUUUCCAACCUCUUGUCGGCUGCGUCCAGACUCCUUGCUCUCCUGGCCAU